rnacentral:rRNA from 1 species
CAGUCGCCGCGGGAAUACGAAGGGUGCAAGCGUUACUCGGAAUUACUGGGCGUAAAGCGUGCGUAGGUGGUUGUUUAAGUCUGCUGUGAAAGCCCUGGGCUCAACCUGGGAAUGGCAGUGGAUACUGGCAAGCUAGAGUGUGUCAGAGGAUGGUGGAAUUCCCGGUGUAGCGGUGAAAUGCGUAGAGAUCGGGAGGAACAUCAGUGGCGAAGGCGGCCAUCUGGGACAACACUGACGCUGAGGCACGAAAGCGUGGGGAGCAAACAGGAUUAGAUACCCCGGUAGUCCCUGUCUCUUAUAC